AACGCUAGCUACAGGCUUAACACAUGCAAGUCGAGGGGCAGCAUGGAACUUAGCUUGCUAAGUUCUGAUGGCGACCGGCGCACGGGUGAGUAACACGUAUCCAACCUACCGUUUACUACGGGAUAGCCUUCUGAAAAGGAGAUUAAUACCGUAUGGCAUUCUAAGGUUUCAUGACAUUAGAAUUAAAGGUUUACCGGUAAUCGAUGGGGAUGCGUUCCAUUAGAUAGUUGGAGGGGUAACGGCCCACCAAGCCAUCGAUCAGUAGGGGUUCUGAGAGGAAGGUCCCCCACAUUGGAACUGAGACACGGUCCAAACUCCUACGGGAGGCAGCAGUGAGGAAUAUUGGUCAAUGGGCGCGAGCCUGAACCAGCCAAGUAGCGUGAGGGAUGACGGCCCUAUGGGUUGUAAACCUCUUUUAUGCGGGAAUAAAAUGUUUGACGUGUCAUACAUUGUAGGUACCGCAAGAAUAAGGACCGGCUAAUUCCGUGCCAGCAGCCGCGGUAAUACGGAAGGUCCAGGCGUUAUCCGGAUUUAUUGGGUUUAAAGGGAGCGUAGGCCGCAAGUCAAGCGUGUUGUGAAAUGCAGGGGCUCAACCUCUGGAUUGCAGCGCGAACUGGCAUGCUUGAGUACGCACGAGGUAGGCGGAAUUUGUGGUGUAGCGGUGAAAUGCUUAGAUAUCACGAAGAACUCCAAUUGCGAAGGCAGCUUACCGGAGCGCAACUGACGCUGAAGCUCGAAAGUGCGGGUAUCGAACAGGAUUAGAUACCCUGGUAGUCCGCACGGUAAACGAUGGAUGCCCGCUGUUGGUCCGAAUGGGUCAGCGGCCAAGCGAAAGCGUUAAGCAUCCCACCUGGGGAGUACGCCGGCAACGGUGAAACUCAAAGGAAUUGACGGGGGCCCGCACAAGCGGAGGAACAUGUGGUUUAAUUCGAUGAUACGCGAGGAACCUUACCCGGGCUUGAAUUGCAGACGAACGUUCCAGAGAUGGUCCGGCCCUUCGGGGCGUCUGUGAAGGUGCUGCAUGGUUGUCGUCAGCUCGUGCCGUGAGGUGUCGGCUUAAGUGC
rnacentral:rRNA from 1 species